rnacentral:lncRNA from 1 species
UCUGUUCACUAAAGAAGUGAUUAAUAGUUGGCAUAACCUCUGGUGGUCGAGUUCGAAGGAAAUUCCUCAAGCCAUGCUUAGCAUAUUUCUCUCCUUCUUCUUUGUUAUCAAACACUCCCUUGGUGCGGCCAUUUUUGCUUAUCCUAUGUAGGAAAAUUAUCAAAUCAAAUAAGCAAAACAAAACAAAUCAAACAAUUACACUAAUUGUGUCAAUAUAAUAUAUGUUCCUUUCUUCAUUAUAAAGAUUAUGUUGAAACAACCGUCAAAACUAAUAAAAAAAUAAUUUUUGUCAUUAAAGAGAUUACUAGGCUGGAUCGUGAACUAUGUCGCUUUGUUUAAGACGUGUGUGUUCCAACAGAUUCUAGUAAAAACAUUUGAGCUGAAAAUCUAAAUAAUUAAAUUAGUGAGAAAAUUUUAAAGGGAGAAAAUAUGAAACCCCCUCUAAUAGAUUCAAUUCCAUAUUUUUUCUGUCACUAAUUUUCGUUGCUAAUUUUGCUAUUUCUUAUUAGAAUUGUACCUAACAUCAGGGUUCUGGAGCAAGUUUCUUGUUAACUGGAAGACACACAUGCUUGUCACAAAGGUCAUUGCAGCCAAUAGAGGGUAAACCUAUAUAUAAAAAAGUUAAAAUUCAAGUAUUCAACAAAACUAUAAUGAGAAUAAUAAUGAAUCAAUUUAAAGUAUAUAUUUUACCUCUGGUUUCAUCCAGCGCCCCAUUAAUUUGGAAAAGUGUUUCUUUUAUGAUACUUUGCCUUUUGGGAUUAAAAAACAGAAUUCUUGGUUUCUUGAAUUUCAAAAAGUUUUGUUUUGCUAUUUCUACAAAAUAUUAGCAAUGGUUAUUUGAUCUUUAUUUUUCUUGAAUGACCUAUGAUUCUAUGUGCUAUUUGUAUAUAUAGUAGUUGGUAAGGUAGAAUUUGCUUGGAUAACCUUUACAAUGGGCUAAUAGCUAGCAUUGUAAUCAAACGUCAAAAUUAAAAUUUAAUAUUUGACUUGUAGUAAAAACCAGGGGCUAGCCUCAUGUUUUUCUCUAUUUUUUUAAACAAGGAAAUGCAAAGAAUGACUCAAAGUCAUGCCAAUAGGGCAACGCAGUUAUUAACGACAACUAUAUCUAUUUAAUUAUUUUAUUGUAGAUUAUUCUCUUGUUUGUUAUUGGAUUGAGAAGGAUAUUAUAAGUAUAUAUUUUUUCGUAUGAUAGGCUAGAAAUUUUUCGUAAUAUAUUUUUCAACACACAACAUGUAUGUAUAACUUGGUCACGUCAACUUUUGACUAGGGUUAUAAACUAUAAAGAGAUAAUAACGACCAUGAAAAUCACAAAAUUUCUUGUUUGAAAGGACGAGGAAUUUAUUUCAUUGGAUAUAUGACUCGUACAUUGGUUUCGAUAUCUCUUGACUCGUACAUUGGUUUCUGAUACGAUUGUGAGUCGAGAAGGAUCACCCUAAUGCCAACGCAGACCCACUUAUUGCUAACACAUUAUUAACUUCUCAAAACUCCUUUCAUUCUUUCAUUUUUUUGGUAAAAAUAUAGAAUGGAGCCCAAUAAAAAUAAAUAAUCAAUUUAACGAACAUUCAUAGAAAUGCAAGUGCCAACAAUAUCAUCAAACAAGAGAUUUUGAAGCUCUUUAGGAGAUGUCUCAGUAACAUCUAAGUCAAAAUAUCGAUUGAAUUCAUAUAUAUACUAAAAUUAGCUAGCCAAUCAGGGGCAGAUCUGGACUCACAAUAUUGGUGAGGCACAAUUUUAUGUCAAAUAAUCAAAUAAAACGUAAGCAUAGGAACCGAGCGCGAGUUAGCUUCCGUUUGUAGCGAGCGACAAUUAACUUGCAUUUGGGUUAUUAGGGUAAAUUUUGGGGGUAAAUGAGCAAUUUUAAAAGUGAGAAGGGUAAUAUUGAAUAACAUAUGCAAAUAUGAAGCCCAAGCCCAUAACAACAAACAAACAUCCUUAUCCUUAUCCUUAUCUUCUUAUUCCUAAACAAAGCUUUGUUGCCCUAAUUUUAACCUAAUAUUUUAUCAAUUUUUCCCUCCUUCAAAACCUAACCAUAUUUCCUAAUUCCCCUCCUCCAAACCCUAACCAUGAUUUCCUAAUUUCACUCCUCCUAAACCUAUCUAAUAUUUUAACCUAAUAUUUUAGCAACUUUUUCCUCCUUCAAAACCUAACCAUAUUUCCUAAUUCCCCUCCUCCAAACCCUAACCAUGAUUUCCUAACUUCACUCCUCCUAAAACCUAUCUAAUUGAUUUCCAUAAACCAUAUCUCCUAACUCCCCUCCUCCAAACCCUCACCAAUAUAUUUUAAUCCUUUCUCCUAAACCGAAAUCUCUUUCUAAAACCAUACCUUUCUCUUAAACCGAAAUUUCUUAAUCAACAUGGCUUCCAGAAACAUUCAGACUUUGCUGUCAUACCACUGCCUCACUGAUAACCAUAUCUUCAUUCCACUCUGGUUUAUACUAAAUAUAUAGACUUUUGCUCUUAUUCCUCGCUGUUGUAAAGUAUAAAUCAUUCUUUCAAUCCCUUUUAAUCUUUUGUAGGUCUGUUGGUGAAAAACCCUCUUUCCGAUCUUGACAAAGCAAUCAACAAGCUGAGACUGAAAUACAGAUCAUAUAUCGUUGAAUAUGACAUUGAUGUUGUAUGUGUUUUUUGCGAAAUAUACCUAUUCUUAAUUAUUUGCAUUCUAUUUUAUCAACGUUUGUGAUGUUUUUGUUUGUUAUUUUUUUAGGGUGCAGUAUGCUUGCCAAACAUGUUUGGCGGUGAUUUUGGAGAUCAAAUUGGGCGCUAUGCAAUAUUGACUGAUCCUAAGUCCAACAAGUUUGAAGUAUUGGUCGACAAAGUAAACGGAGCAUUUUUUCUCACAAAGGGAUGGAAAGCGAUUCGUGACUUUUACGGAAUCGAUCUUGGUGCCUGAAUUACCUUGGUUUUUGUUGGUGACGGACAGUUUGAUAUACAGUUGACUGAUAGGUUUCACAAGAGUAUCCCCUACCCGGUUUUUGAUCCCCCUAUGCAUUUCCUUCUUGACAAGAUGAAUUUGCAAGCAACUUUCGAUGACUAUCUCCCCCCAAUAACAUCUCUUCUCGCUUAUCGUCACAAUAUCACUGACAUGGUUCUUGAUUUCGAAAAAAAAUUAACUGAGUAUGAUGUUACUAAAGGUUGCAUGGUAUGAUACACUUUUCGUGUCCACCUUAACUUCUUUUAUUCCUUUUCCGUUUAGUUGAUAUAAGUUACAUGGAUUUCUAAUUUUGCAGAUUCUACUUUACACCGGCAAUGUUCCGCAGAUGCUUGAUACACUCAAGACAACUGUGAAUAUUAUCGACGAUUGCGGUAACUUAUGGGUGUGUGAGCUAACUUUUGCAACUUUUCCUUAUGAACACUUCAAGAUAGGACGGCGUUGGAAUAGGUUUGUGGAAGCUCGCAGGCUCCGUGAAGGUGUGAAGAUCAGAGGGGGUGCUCCGAUGGUUGGGUCACAUGAUACCAUCUACCUUGAUGUUAUUUACAAUUAGUCCAUGUUUAGAUAAAUUGUGCAACACCUUUCCACUUUGAAUUUUAAGUUUUAGUUUCUUAGAGUUUUGGAAGCAUCUAUUUUUUUGUCUUUGAAUUUAGCAAAUGUCCCUUGAAUUUCAUAAAUAAUUUAGCCUUGCUUGCUUUGGUUUUUGAUUUAUAUAUUUGUGUUUGUGCUCCUCAAACUAUAUUUAGUAGCAUUGUUGUGUUAUUGAAGCAUUUUAGUAGCAUAGCUUUUAGUAACAUUAUUAGUAACAAUUACUACCUUUUGGUGACACUUUUAGUAACAUUAUUACUAACAAUUACUAAUCCUAAUCUCUAAAAUAUGUUUUGGUUGGAAUCAAACUAAAAUCUUAAUCCUAAUUUCUCUCAUUCAAGUAACUAAGAAAUUUCAUCCACAUCUCUAAAGUACUUUUUUGGUGGAAACAAACUAAAAUCCUUAUUUAUCUCAUUCAAAUAAUUACGGAAUUUCAUCCACAUCUCUAAAAUAUUUUUUGGGUGGAAACAAACUAAAAAUCAUAAUUCCUUUCAUUCAAGUAACUAUUAAAGAUUUCAUUCACAUCUUUAAAAUAUUUUUUAGCUGGAAACAAACUAAAAUCCUAAUCCUAAUUUCUCUCAUUCAAGUAACCAAUAGAUUUCAUCCACAUCUCUAAAGUAACUUUUUGGUAGAAACAAACCAAAAUCCUUAUUUCUCUCAUUCAAAUAAGUAAGAGAUUUCAUCCACAUCUCUAAAAUAUGUUUUGGGUGGAAACAAACUAAAAAUCCUAAUUCAUCUCAUUCAAGUAACUACUACAUUUCACCCGAGUCAACUAUCCUAAUAAUUUGUUCUACGCCCCUAAACCCUAUUUACAAGUCAAUUCUUAAGUCAAACACACUGCCCCAUCAAGAAUAUUAUUUUCAUAUUAUUUGUAUUUAUCUUUAUCCUAAAAUGUUGGGCAUUUCCUAAAUUUAAUCCACUUCAAGUGUAUCCAUUUGUGUUGCGCCCUCCCAAUUUACAUGCCAAUUCUUAAGUAAAAAAAAAAAAGUCUCAUCAAAAAUAUUAAUUUCAUUUUAUUCAUAUUAAUCUUUAUCCUAAAAUGUUGGGCAUUUCCUAAUUUUUUUCCACUAUUUUGUGCUUAUCGUGAUAAGUAAUACUCUUUAUUGCUCAACCAUCAUAUCUUACUCACACGUAUUGUUCGAGGGGUGGUUUAAAGAUAUUGAUUAAUGACGAGGACGUCUAUUUUAUCGAUGUUGCAUCAAAUGUGGUCUACAAAGAAGUUUUCUGUAAUGUGUAUGACUUUUUUUUGUAUUAUUCAUUUUCUUACUUAUUGAAACUAUUUGCAUGUCAACGUACUUCAGUUUCCCUUUUAAAAUUAUAUGUUAUGUUAAAAUAACAGAAAUCGCGUCUUAGAAUUAUGGAACAAUAACAAAGUCUAUCGUAAUUGACAUUAUGCUUUGAUUCACGACAAUUUUUACAUUCAAGCGAACUACAUUGUUUUAUUUUUACAGUGAAUAUUUACUUCUUAAAAUGACCCGUGCGUUAGCAUGGGUCAGUGGUCUAGUUAUCCUUAAUAUUUAAUUUUUGCUAACAACGCAACCCUAAUUCCAAAACCUAACCCUAAUAAAAAUGGCGCCAUAUCAUUAAAAUUUGAAAUUCAAAUCUCCCUCAAAUACCCUAAUGAGUAAUUAAGCAAUAAUCACUCCAAAACAAUUUCAUAUGUGCUCAUGCCCUUAAUUAAGGUUUUUUUUUUUUCUUUCUAAAUUACCUUUGAAAAUUCAUGGGCAAUUUACCCAAAUCAAUCAAAAUUUUCCAUGUGUACUCCAUUAGAAUAAUAACAUUUAUUAUUUUAUUUUGCAAAAAUUUAGCAUGUAUUUUAUUAUUUGCAUAUUCACCCCAUCUUAAAUUAAUGAUUUUUUAUAGGGAAUUUAAUACAAAGAUUAUGCAUUCAUUCCAAUUUAGUUGAACGACUUGGCAAAAAUUAUUAAAAAUUAAAAUUAUCAUGGGAAUCGAACUUGAAUGCACCCACUUAUUUGAAAUGUUUUCUCAAACCACUUAACCAAUACAUUUUUUAUGAAUUAAAUUGGAAUGCAAAAAUAUGUUAUUAGUGAGCAAUUUUUUUUUUUUUUUUUUGCAGUGACUUAUAACCUAGCUUUAGUAAAAAUAAUAAUAAUCAUUUUAUAUGUGUAUAUUUAUGAAAUAGUAAAUCUUUCUUAAAAAAUAAUAAUAAAUUCAUUCAAUUGAUUUUUUAUAUUGUAAAUAUCAUUCUUUUAUAUAAAUUCAUACUUUUAUAUAGAUUCGAUGAACUACAACAUUGUUUCAUUUGUGAUCAACCGAAUUUUGACUUAUUUUAGGUACUAUCUUUCAUUUGGAUCAGAUAAAUUGUUUAAAGGUAUUAAUUUUUUUUUGCAGAGUCUUAUAAGUUAUAACCUAGCUUUAGUAAAAAAAAAAAAUCAUUUUAUGUGUAUAUUUAUGAAAUAGUAAAUCUUUCUUAAAAAAAAAAAAUAAAAUCAUUCAUUUGAUUUUUUUAUAUUUUAAAUAUCUUUCUUUUAUAUAAAUUCAUACUUUUAUAUAGAUUCGAUGAACUACAACAAUGUUUCAUUUGUGAUCAACCAAAUUAUGAUUUAUUUUAGAUAAUAUCUUUCAUUUGGAUCAGAUAAAUUGUUUAAAGGUAUUAAUUUUUUUUUUCAGUGUCUUAUAACUUAUAACUUAGCUUUAGUAAAAAAAAAAGGCUUAUUUAAUUCUUUGGUUUUAUUUUGGUCUCACAAUUAAUAAAACUCACGUUUUAGUCCUUCACUUUUCCCACAGUUUGCCAAAUAAAUUAACUUUAACCUCAAAUAUCUAUGGUGAACCCACUGGUCCACUAUAGAUCCUAUUAUUUUUUUUAAUAUAAACCGUUUGAUCUUUUUUAAUAAAGAAGGAUUGUUAGAUCAUGCAUGUCCACUGUAUCUUACUGUGAACCAACAACAUCUAGCAUUAUAUCCCAUACUUCAUCUUCUUCCUUCCCCUCAUUCAUCACCUUCAUAAAAAAAAAUCCAGAGAAAAUCCAGAUAACCACCAUCAAAACCUCUUUUUCAAAACCACCAUCAACACCGUUGUCUAUAUAUCCAUCAUCUCAAUCCCUCUCUCUCUCAAUCGAACCCACGCACCCCAAAUCCGAAUUCGAAUUCGACAAUAAAAAAUUGAAGCUGGGAUUGAUUUUUUAUUGAGAAGUCAAAAAUGAAAGAGAAGGAGGAGAAUGCAAUGAAGAUGAUAGAAGGGGAAAUGGUAUCCGAUGGAGAAGAGAGAGCAUGAGAGGUAAGGAAUAGUUUAGGAAAAAAGGGUUUAAGGGGAUAGAGAGUAGAUCGGGAUUGAGAGAGAUAGAUUGGGAAAAAAAUCAAUUUUUUUUAAGCAUUGUCAUUGAGAACUAUUGUGAUUACAUCUAUGAUUCUGGAAUUCUUCUGCUUAACAGUCCUUCUUGGUUCAGCAAAAACGAUGCAAAUCUAUAGGAAGAUGAAUUGAGUUAAAAAUUGGAAUAAUAAGGAAUGAAUGAAUAUGAAUCAGAAGAAGCAAAGAGAUAUUCUUGACGUGGGAGAAAAGAUUAAUGAGAAUUAGAAUCUUGUCCAAAUAUUAUGUAACAACAUAAGAAUCUUAAAAAAAUUCCUUUAAAUUUAUCUAUUUAUUUUUUAAAAUGUUGGAUCUUCUUGUUGUUGAUUGAUGAUUAUGGAUUUUGUUUUAAUGGUAUAAUUGGGAUAAUAAAAAAGCAAAUAUUAAAUAUACUCAUAUAGUUUGUUACACUUUUUAAAUGAUAAAGGAAAAAAACCAGACACACAUAUCGUGUUUGUUACAUUUGUUUUAAUAUUUAAAUUUAUUCUUAUUUAUUUGUUACAUGUGUUGUUUGUAUUAAAAAUUAAGGGUAUUUUUGGAAAGAAAAAUCCUGCCCAAAAGUGCUGAAAGAGAUAGUUUUCUUUAUAUAUAGUAUAAAUACUAUAUAUAACUAGCGAAAAAACGGGCACGUGACAUGUGUAAAUUAUGAACGGUAUUUUAUAUGAAAUUUUGAUUUUGAUUAAAAUUAUAAGUACAAAUAUUUGUGAAAUUAAAAUUGUAACAAACCCAAAAAAAUCAUGUUUAUCUUUUACCACAACAACACAGUAGUUUAACAAAUAUAAUAUAAAUUCUUAUCUUUUUUUAAUACCACCAAGAAUGUAACAUUAAUAUAGGAAAAUUUGUUUAAGGGUAUAAUUGAAAUUAUAAAAAAUUCAGCCCAAAGUCUCUAUUCCCUUCAUAUAUAGUAUAUAUAGUAUUUUGUCAAAAAAAAAAAAAGAAUAUAUAGUAUUGUUCCUGUUGUAGUGGUAUAUUUCCUAUUUUAAUGAGAUUUCAUUUUUCUAAUUCAAAUUUAAUAUAAUAUUAUUAAAGGAUAAAAUAGUAAAUAAAAUAGGCUUAAUUGCACUUUUGGACCCCUAUCUUUCCAAAAGUUGCGGUUAUGGACCCCUAACUAAUUUAAAUACAAAACAGCCCCCUAUGUUUUGAUUUUUUGCCAAUUUUGGACCCCAAUCCAUUGUUGACUCGGUCAACGCUGACGUGGCACCCUAAGUGAGGUGCCACUUGUCAAUUUUAUUUUAUUUUUGCCUUGGGGGUCCAAAACUGCUAAAGAAUCAAAACAUAGGGGACUGUUUUAUAUUUAAAUUAGUUAGGGGUCCAUAACCACAACUUUUGGAAAGAUAGGGGUUCAAAAGUGCAAUUAAGCAAAUAAAAUAUUUUAAAUGAACAGUAAAAUCAAUAGUAUAUACAUAUAAAGUAAUGUUUUUAUGCCACAUGUUGCCUUUGUAAUGCCCUGAAUUCUGGUAGAACCGUGCACUUGCGGUUUUAUCCCAUCAGUCAUCGAAUCUAUAUAAAAGUAUGAAUUUAUAUAAAAGAAUGAUAUUUAAAAUAUAAAAAAAUCAAUUGAAUGAAUUCUUUUUUUUUUUUAAGAAAUAUUUACUAUUUCAUAAAUAUACACAUAUAAAAUGAUUAUUUUUUUUUUUAUACUAAAGCUAGGUUAUAACUUAUAAGACACUGCAAAAAAAAAAAAAAUUAAUACCUUUGAACAAUUUAUCUGAUCAAAAUGAAAGAUAGUACCUAAAAUAAAUCAUAAUUCGUUUGAUCACAAAUGAAACAAUGUUGUAGUUCAUCGAAUCUAUAUAAAAGUAUAAAUUUAUAUAAAAGAAUGAUAUUUAAAAUAUAAAAAAUCAAUUGAAUGAAUUCAUUUUUUUUUUAAGAAAGAUUUACUAUUUCAUAAAUAUACACAUAUAAAAUGAUUUUUUUUUUUACUAAAGCUAGGUUAUAACUUAUAAGACAUUGAAAAAAAAAAUUAAUACCUUUGAACAAUUUAUCUGAUCAAAAUGAAAGAUAGUACCUAAAAUAAAUCAUAAUUCGGUUGAUCACAAAUGAAACAUUGUUGUAGGUCAUCGAAUCUAUAUAAAAGUAUGAAUUUAUAAAAAAGAAUGAUAUUUAAAAUAUAAAAAAUCAAUUGAAUGAAUUCAUUUUUCUUAAGAAAAAUUUACUACUUCAUAAUUAUACACUUAUAAAAUGAUUUUUUUUACUAAAGCUAGGUUAUAAAGGCACGGCAAAUAAAAAUAAAAUAAUUUGCUCACUAAUAACAUAAUUUUAAAUUUCAAAUUAUUUCAUAAAAAAUGUAUUGAUCAAGUGGUUCUGGAGUACAUUUUAAAUAGGUGGGAACACCUAGGUUUGAUUUCCAGGGGUGAUAAUUUUAAUUUGUAAUGAUUUUUGCCAAGCUGUUCAACUAAAUUGGAACGAAUGCAUGAUCUUUGGCAUUAAAUUCCCUGGAUUGCGGUUUCAUAAAGAUGAACCCAAAUUUGAUAAAAAAAAAAAAGAGGUUUGGAGAGUGAUUGGAUUAGAGGUGAAAUUUAAUUAUUGUGAUGGUUUAAAAUGUAAAAAAUCAUUAAUUUAAGAUGGGUGAAUAUGCAAAUAAUAAAAUACUUGUUAAAUUUUUGCAAAAUAAAAUAAUAAAUGUUAUUAUUCUAAUGGAGUACACAUAGAAACUUUUGAUUGGUUUGGGUAAAUUGCCCAUGAAUUUUCAAAGGCAACCUAUGCCUCACCCUUGAUUAAUUAUGUCCAAUUGCCAUAAGCCGUGCAUUUAAUCUCUACGUGUAAUACCAAUGUCUACGUACAACUCAUGGUAAUACCUCCAUUAAAAUAUACAUCGGUUUCCAAUGCUUUGUGCUAUAAAUGCAAUUCAGUGAACCAUUCAUUUUGUUAGAUGAGAGGGUGCAUUAAACUCACGUGUAUUAGUGGAGUAUAUUUCCAAGGAGUUCUCCAUAAUCAUAUAACUACUUCAAGAUUGAACCAAGUCAUUAACAUAGAAAUGAAGAGUUGCUUUAAUCUUUAUCCAAUUCCCAAAAGGGUGCCUUUGAAAUGAUCGAUACACCUUCUCUGAUUCCUUUUAUUUUUAGAGACCCACAUUUGUUGCUUCCAUUCUUCCUAAUGGCAUCAAAUAUCGGAUCUCAAAUUGGUCAUCCUCGAAACAACGCUGAAAUCGAUCAAGUUCGUUGGUGAUUUGGCUCAGUAUCUUUACAAAUAUUCUCCUCUACAUUGCUCCCAUUUCGAUCUAUCUCUCUUCUUCAUUUUAUUUUAUCCUUAUUUUUUGCAAGGGACUUCCUACAAAAUGCAGAUAAAUAGAUUGUUGAAGGCAUGCUGUUUAUGUGGUUGUUAUAGAUAAAUUAUCUCUAUAAUUCAUCAUUGUUCUGCUCCUGCUUUAAUUUUUUUCUAAAUUUGAGAGUGACUCUGGUGCACAAGGUUUGUACCUUCAUCUUCUUUUGCAUUAAAUUCUUGAUUUAUUUUCUUUUUUAUUUGUUACUUUGACUUUUAUAGUGCAGUGUGAAUUAUUUUCUACUUUGAUAUGGUGGUCCUGUUAAGCUAUACAAAAUAAAAAUUAUUUAGUUGUCACUACAUGUCUUUCAAAUGAAGUUUUAUUGUUUCUGUCCAUUGGGUUAUACAUUGUACUAAUCUUUAUGUUUACAAAAAGAAUGUAAUGAGUAUAUAUAGUUUUUGAGUUAUACAUUGGGUUUAAGUACAUUAAUUAUUCAUACAUAUAUAACUUUAUUCUAAUCUAACAUUGUAUAUAGUGUGCCUUGAAUUUAAGUCAAUGAUGCUAUUGUGGUUGCUUGCUUUUGCAUAAUUUUUUGUUGAUUGUCUGGUUACAUCGAGAAGCAUAUUUGGUUCGUACGACAUAUUAUGUCGAUGAAAGUAUUAUGCUAUAUUUGGUUCAUACGACAUUUGCUUUGAGGGAAGAAAAAACAAGGGUGUUAGCUUUUGUGUCUUGUGAGUGGACUAUAUGAUGUUUUCUUUGGUCUUCAACCUUUGUUGGAAUGACUUGAUUUGUGUUGCAUCUCAUGGAAUAAACGUGGCUAUUAUUUGUGUAAAAUUGUUAUCUUACACCACUUUUGAAAAUUACCAAAAAAUUAUUUAAUUUAACUAACUUGAUUAGAAGUAUUGUUUAGAGUAUAUGGAUGACAAUAAAAUGAAAAUUUCAUUUUAUUUAAUACCUGUGAUGGGAUAAAUGUCCUUCUGAAAUUAGAGGAGAUCUUAUUACAGAUUUCUAACUACAGAUUUGUAAAUCUUUGAGAUUGGCUUUGGUAUAGUCCUCCAACCUUUUUCCGUUGUUUCUCUUUUUGGUUUAAUAUAAUCUUUUGGUGGUGCAUUGCAUCAUAUAAAUAAAUUUUCAAAUGGUAAAAAGUAUCAUACUUCAAAUAUACCAACGUUAACACGGGUAGACAAGUAAUUAGACGAUCAACUAUUUAAUGUGAAUUUACAUUUUCAAUGUAUAUGAUUCGUCCGGCAACACGGAUGGAUGAUUUUGUAACUCUAAAUAUUUGAUACUCAUAUGGUGACAUUAACACAACCACUACACUACUUUUCUUUGCUGCUUCUUUCUUCUCAACUAUGGUACUUCAAUACUUUUCUUCAUCAUUUUCCUUUUUUACGGUUCCAUGGUUUCUACAUGUUAUUCUUUUCCACUAGCACUCUACUAGCACUUUACUUUGAGAUUAGGAUAAUUUAUAUCUCAAAAUAAAGAAACCAUAGCCAAAACUUCAUAUUUCUAUUAUGAAAAAUCUUAUUCUUAUUUGAAUUCUCAUAACUUUUUGUAAAAUACAUUUUUCUUCCCCUCCCUCUCCCUCCCUCCCUCCCCCCCUCCUUCCCUUACAUUUUCUCUUUCUUUCUCAUCUUUUAUCUCUCACCCUCACAUUCCACACUAUUUUUUUCUCUUAACUAUUCAUAUUCUUAUUUAAAAAAAAACUAAUUCUCUCUCUGUCUCUCUCUCAUGUUCUCUUUUUCUCUAACUUCAUUUUUAUUCUUUUAUUUAAUUUAUUUUUCACUAAUCUUUAUUCUAUUUGCUUUUACUCUUUAUAUAAAAAAUAUGACACCAAUGUUUAUCACUAAUGCUAAAAAAAUUGAAAUCAUACAUAAUAUAUUUAGGAAAAUAACAUACCCCAUAAAUUAUCAAAUUAAUCAUAUUUAAUUAACUGACACAUAAACAAAAUUGCUGUUAAUUUUUUUUAAUAUAUAUAGGACAAGUUUUUUUUUUUUUUUUUUAGAGAAUAUAUAGGACUCCAAGUGUUUGUUACUGAUCUUGAAGGUAAAUUUUUUUUUUUUUUUUUUACUAUCAUCCAUAUAAAAAUGAGAAUAAUUAUACAUUAUUUUAAAAACAUACAUGAGACAAUAUCUUCAAUAAAAAUACUUAUUGAUAUUUAUUAUAUAUUUUCUAUCCUAAUAUAAUAUUGACAUUACUAUAUAUCUUAAUAGUAUUUUAGUAUUUUAUGAAGUCUUUUUGUAUUUAAGUUUAUGAGGACCAGAAUGAGUUACUGAUAGUUUUAGAAAUAGGUUGUAGUAUUUUAAAUGGUUUAAAUGCUAUUUUUGUCUCUUAAGUAUUAAAUUGGUAUCGCUUUGGUUCAUGAACUAAAAAAAUGAUUGUUUGAGCACUUUAAGUUUUUUUUAGUCUCAUUUUGAUCCCUUCUUUUAGGUUUCCGUUAGGGUUUAAAAAAAAGUUAACUCAUGGACACGUGUCACCUUGUCAGAAAGGACCAAAAUGAGACUAAUAAAUAUUUAAAGUACUCAAAUAAUCUUUUUUUUACUUAAGAGAUCAAAACGAUACCAAUUAAAUAUUUAAGGGACCAAAAGAACAUUUAAGCCUAUUUUAAAUUGAGUCACUUAUGUCUUGUAAUCCCCUAACCAACAACUCUAAAGGGUGCCAUAUGUUCCCCACGCACACUAAGAACGAAAAUUUGGAGAUUUCACAACCACGUAUUCAGAGCCCGCCUUGAAGUUGAAAAAUCCUGCCACAUGUUUAAUGAAGCACACAAGGCGUACAUACCGAUACCCAUGUACGCGGUGUGCGUUUAUGGAAAGUUCCUAUAUAUUUGAUUUUUUACCCAUAAAUAGGGGUUUGGAAUCCCGAUUACUCAAAGACAUAAAAGUGCCAUCCCUUCAAUCAUACGUGGUGUUUUCAACCUUGGAAUCCCAUUUAAUUUUACUGUCAUGCAUAAGAUUCGUUUCUUCUGAAGCAUAAUCAUGAUAUAAAGGCACUUAGGAGGAGGUGACAUAUCUAAUAUUCGUAAAUAACUGUCUUAAUCAAGAAUAACUAGUUCAACAAUUUGGGAAACAAGUGAAUUUGUAUUUAAAUUAGCUUAGUAACUUCAUUCUUCUUUCACCUCGGUAAGGUAGAUGAGAUAGGGUUGCUCGUUUGUAGAACUACUGAGAGGGAGAGUGUGCUGAUGUCCUUCUAAGAUUUAAUAGCGAGGGAACCUUUAGGAUACCCUUAAUUUAGGAACCUUAUUAUUCGUCAUUGUUUCAAUUUCAUAGAAAUAUAUUUUGGUAAUACUUAUAUUUAAGAACCUUUUGUUACCGUUUGAAAGUCACAAACAUAUAUACUUAUAGUUUAAUCAACAUCCAAAUUUCAUAGAAAUAUAUUUUGGUAAUUUAUACGCGUUAGCCUAAUAAAUAGAGUGAAUAGAAGUACUCUUUUAAACGCUCGUGUCAAAUAAAAAAAUUCAGCAUUAAAAUAUAGAAGAAAAAAUAAUUGAAUUAAAAAAAAUAUAAAUCUUAAAUUUAUCACAAGCAAAAAAAUCAAAUUUGUGAAAUAGUAAAUAAAAAAUAAAUAAAAAGGACUCUACCAAAAGCCAUUUAAAAAAAACUCUACCAAACAAAUUAGAAGAAGUGUAACACUUAACACACAAGAACAUGUAAACCGUUGGAAACCAGUAACAAAAUAUUAUCACUCAACUAAAAUAAAAGAUGAGAAAAAGAGGGACUAAAUACAUAAUAUUUACAUGAAAACCCUCAACAAAUAAGGGGAAAAACCAUGGAGCAAGAGUAGAUAACUUUUACUAAGUGGGAGAAAUUAUAAGUCCUAUCCAAAAAGAGACAAAUUAUCCUAUCUCUUGAAAUAGGAGAAUAAUACUUAUACAAUAAGAGAUACCUUACGAAAGAAACUAUAUUUCCUCUUUAUAUUUUCUCACUCUCUAGAGACUCUAAUUAUUGUUGUUGUGUUACUACUUGAUGAGAUAAUUGAAAUGGUGCAAAUGAAAUGAUUAUUUAUAGGAUGGGUAAACCAUUGUUUCUUGCAUGCAACAAGCCACUUGUCUUUCAUGCAAAACACCAAAUGUGUAACAUGUCACUUGUUUCUCAUGCAUCUUCCAACUUGUCAAUACAUGGAAAAUGCAAUUUGUCUUGCAUGCACUGUAGACAUAUUCUUGGGCUGGCAUAGAUCACAAUUUGAACUCAUAUCAUUUAGAGAAGCUACACACACACAUCCGCAGUGUUCUCAACAUUUCACAAUCACAGUGUGCAUGCUUCUCAAGCUCUAAGGUACACUAAUUAAGGAUUAAGAAUAUGGAUGGCAAGCUUGUGUCUAGCUGGUAUAAUCUUCACUCUUCUGUGCCACAAUCUUAUGUGCAACCACCAGAAAGACAACCUUGCAAUGCUGUACAUGUUUUGUCCACUAACCAGAAAGUUCCAGUGAUUGAUCUUGGAGGACAUGAUCGUGAUGACAUCAUAAGAAACAUCAUCAAAGCCUCCGAGGAAUAUGGAUUUUUUCAGGUUCAAAUUUUACAUUUGCCUUUUGUUUUUUGUUUUUACUUCUCAACUACGCAUGCAAGUAGAAAAAAGUUGAAAUGAAGACGGAAUAAUAGAGAGAGAAAAACAAAAUUAGUUUCUAAUUCCUUCGUUAAUUAAAUGUUAGAGACGGCAAAUUUAUGGAUCAAUUUUAUUUUUUUCCGUCGUUGUUUACGCCUAUAUAUACACUAUUAUUUACUUUCUCAGGUUACAUUUAUGAAGAAAAAAUAACUUUUUUGGUUCAUUCAAUAACUAAUGUCUCUAACAUUUAUAUAGACCAGAUACAUUGAUUAUUCGAUGAACAAAAGUUGUUUUUGUCUUAUAAAUGUGAUCGGAGGAAAUAUAUGUGUAUCGUGAGGGAUUAAUAUUUGACUGCUGGUCGAGGAUACAUAAAUGAGUUGACCAUAAUUUGAUAGAAUGAUCAUGCAAACGUUAAUCUUGUUGUAUAUGUUCUUAAUUUGAUGGUAGGUUGUGAACCAUGGAGUUGCUAAGGAAUUAAUGGAUGAUACAUAUAAGAUUUUCAAAGAAUUUCAUGCCAUGCUUGCCAAUGAAAAAGUUAGGGAAAGUUCUAAAGACCCAAAUGGAAGCUGCAAACUCUAUACAAGUUGUGGGGGGAACAUUAAUGAUGUGGCUAAGUAUUGGAAGGAUUCAUUGGAACACCGUUGUCCACCUUCAGGAGAAUUCACUUGGUAUUGGCCUGAGAAACCAGAUGGAUACCGGUAAAUUCUCUAGUUUUUCACAUUUUUUUAAUUUUUAGUUAUUUUUCUUCUAAUUUUUUUAAUCAUUUUUAUAAUUAUAUCUAUACAUACUCUCAAUAUCCCGGUGUGCCUUUUCUUUGAGUGGAGUUGGAAUUCGAUUUUGUGUCUUGGGAGAGAAGGGAGGAGGUAGGUGUGGCUGGAAUCUUGGAUGUGUUUUAGCAGAGCUGCAGCUGCUGUUGCUGUGUUGCCAUGUGCAGUUGGGUGUCGUGGGUUUUGGUAGUUGGGCCGGUAGUUGCUGUAGUUGUGCUGCUGUGUGCCGCUGCGUUUUGGGUAUGGCUGGUCUAGGCAGUCUGCGGCAUCUAAGUCUGUGGGGUUUGGGGUUUCUCUGUUUAGACCCUUUCUCUGUGUUCUGUUCCGGCUCUGUGCUGCUGCUGUUGGGUCAGUGCUCCUUGGGUUUUUCGGGGGUGAGGCAGGGGUAUGCUCGCCCUUUACAAGUAUAUCUCGGCCUCACUGUUUGAUACCUUGGGUUCAGGGUGUUCCGUGUAUGUGCGGCACCCUUUGUAUGUCUUCUGUUUUUUCUAUCCGCGAGUUUGUUGUGCACCUUGCAUUCCCUUGACGUGAAUAAUAUUUGCCGUUUCAAAAAAAUAAACUCUCAACAUCUCAAAUUAUACGAUGUUUUGAUCUUUUCACACAAAUUAGAAAAUAUAACUAAUGUUGUAUGAGAAAGAUAAAUUAUAAGUCAUUUUACAAAAUUAUCUUAAUGAUAUAAGAAAGAUAAAUUAAAGAAUUGAAAAAAAAAGUAAGAAAUAGUUGUAAAUUGAAGUUAUAUUAAGAAAAAUAGUAUUUAAUGCUUCAUUGAUAUUGUGAAACAACUUAUAAUUUAAAACAAGUUUUUUUUCUCUAAAACGACUUAUAAUUUAAGAUAUAAUGGGUAUUAUUUAAGACAAAAUGAGUAUUAUCACCAUAUUGAGUUAGUUUGAUUUUGACAUCAAUUAUAAAAUUAUUACCCAGCAAAACGAAUAAUUUUAAUGUAGUAUAUAUUAUAGUUAUAUUUUUAAUAAUUUAAAUUCUAUUUACGUAAAUUUUAAGAUAAAUUAUAAGUUUGAUCCUUUUGUUUUUACUCAUUUGUGAAAUUGGUCCCUCCAUUUCAAAAUCAUUCAACUUAGGUCCUUCCUCAUAUUUUUUGACUCAUAAAUGAUGAUGCGAAAUCAUCAACAACCAUGAAAUUACUAGAAAACCUUUUAAACUUUUUACUGUAAAUAUGAUUUAUCAAUAAGUUAAAAAAUCUAAAAAAUAUGAGAAAGGCUUGUUGAUUUUAAAACACAAGGACCCAUUUUGUGAGUGGGUGAAAAUAAGGUGAUCAAAAUUGUAAUUAAGCAUAAAUUUUAUAAUUUAAUUAAGAUUAUUAUUUUUUUCACUUUGAAGUGAAAUUGUUGGAAGAUAUACACAAGAGCUAAGAGCAUUGGCACUGAGGAUUUUAGACCUAAUUUCUGAGGGAUUGGAACUCAAUCCAAAUUACUUUACUGGAGAAUUGAGUGAUAGCCCAGUAGUGAUAUCUCAUCACUACCCUCCUUGUCCAGAACCAAGUUUAACAUUGGGAGCACCACAACACAAAGAUCCAAACAUUCUAACAAUUCUUUUCCAACAACCAGAGAUCACAGCACUUCAAAUAUUGAAGGAUGGUGCAUGGAUUCCUAUUGAGCCAAUUCCGAAUGCCUUUGUAGUUAACAUGGGGUUUAUGCUUUAGGUACGUAUUCACUACUAGAAAAAAAAUUAAUAAUAGAAUUAAGAGAGUAAGAAUAAAGUUUCUAACUAAUUAUCUCACCAUGAAAAUUGGUGAGAUAAUUAUCUCACCAUAACAUAACUAAUUAACUAAGAACCAAGUUAAACUUCAUUAUGAUAAAUGUUUGGUUAAAUGCAUUUAAAGGUCCUUUAAGUUUUUCGUUUUUCCCAAAGUCGUCCUUUAAGUUUCAAGGAAGCAAUUACCAACUAUGCUAUCUACAAUAAGAAUGUUUGAAACGAUUCAAAAACUAAAAGGAUUUGUUUGAGACUUUUGAAACUUAAAGGACGAUUUUGGAAAAAAUGAAAAACUUAAAUAACCUUUAGAUGCAUUUGACCUAAAUAUUUUGUAUGAAAAAUAUUUCAACUUCUUACUAUUGAUAUAGAUAAUUAGCAAUGGAAGGCUCAAAGGUGCUGAACAUCGAGUUAUAACCAAUUCAAGCACUAGUAGAUACACUAUAGCCUAUUUCAUUUAUCCAAGAAAAGAAGCAAUUAUAGGACCUGCCAAGCCUCUUUUAAGUUCAACUUCACCACCAAUAUACUCAUCUAUGGAAUUUGGAGAAAUGCUGGAGAAUUUAUACAACAAGGGUCCUAACUUUGAAAAUGAACUGCAUUUAUAAACAUUAAUGUAAACUCCUUUUAUUACUUGUACAUGAAGAAUGUACAUGGACUCAUAAAUAAGUUGGAGAUAUAUUCAAGUUUAUGAAUAAUUUAUCUUGUAAUUUGACUUUAUCAAGAGCUUAUGGUCAAUUAGUAAUAGGCAAUAUUUCUCAUGGUCUUAAGUUGAAAUUUCAUAUCAUAAGAGAAAAAGCAAAAUUAGUAAGGGAAAUUAGUGACAGAAAAAAGAAAUCCCUCAUAAAUUUUCCCAUCAUAAAAUUUCGUGACGAAAUUAGAGAGAAAUUUUAUGUUUUGCCUCUCUAAAUUUCCCUCGUUAUUUCUUUUUGUUUUUUUAGUAUAUCUUUAUUUUGUUCUCUAAAUUUCUCUUACAGAAAUUAAAGUGGCGAGGCCAUGAGAUGUUUCUACCCUAAUUGGUCAUCAAGUUGCACAUGCUGAUCGCAUGAUGAUCAUUACGUCCGGGUCUUACUCUCCUAGUUGAUUAAAGUCUAUCCCUCCGAUGGCUAACUGCACUUGCUGGUCAUACGGUGAUCUUUACUUGUAGGGUCUUGUUAAUUCAAAGGUAAUUGAAGCAUGGACUUAAAUUGGCCUCCAGUUUUUCCCCGAGGCUAUGAAGUGCCAAAGUUGCAUUAGGUUAGCCCAUCCAUGAAUCUUAGGUAUCUCAACUCACACUCCCCCUCUCGAUAGUUUUACAAAAGGGCAACCCUAUCAGCGUCUACCUUACCAAGGGUCAAGAAGAAUGGUUCCAUUAGGUUUCUAUUUAUUUCCUUCAACUAACCGCUUGUUUCCUUCAUCUCGAACUAGUUACCUCCUAGGUUCAUCAGAUUUUACGCAGUUUUAGUAAUCUCACCUCCUAAGUACUUACUACUAGGGUUAACUCUCUUUCGGUAUCCUUCGCUAGUUAUUAACUAAUUACUUCCUAGACAGUUAGUUACUAGUAUAAGGACAAAAAUAUCAAGAUAUAAGCAUCCAGAUAGUAAUAACAAUGUUAGGCCCUGUCAGAACCUAAGUAUCUAAUCUAGGAUUGCGCUUGCUACAGAAAUAAACCUAGACUAACUAAACUAAAUGGGGAAUAGAAAAUAACUAAAUAAACGACAUAUAAUUAAAUAAUUAUCCAACAAAACAAACAUGAGUUCAUCUUAGAGUUAAGGAAUGUGACAUGAUUCGUCACUAAGUAACAGAAAAGAAAUUUUCAUGUAGAGACUCAAAUUGAUUUCACAAAGGAUAAUAAGAAUAUAAAAGGGUGGCUAGAAAGGCUCAAGGCAUCAAAGAAAAAUGCCUCGUGUGUAAUGCAGACUUAAUAUACCUACUUAUGACGAUUUUAAAGUUUAUUCCUAAUUAUAAUUGAUCUUACUUUUUAACGAUUGUUCACUUAGGCUCAAUAGACUCUAUGUUUAAUAGACUCGAUUUAAAUUAACUACUAUAGUUAAUACCUAAUAAAUCCUAAGACUCUAUAACUAUUAUUACUAAAUGCUAAAAUUAAUCCUAAAUGCAAAAUUAAAUUGGACUGACUCUAAAUAAAUAACCUAAUUAAAACUAGACUCGAUCUAAUGUAGAUAUUAUAACAACCGUUAUUUUUACUACGACUCCCUAAAUUAAUGCAAUGCGAAAUAAUAACCUAAACUAAGACUUAAAAAAAUAAAGAACAAAAAUAAAAUGGGUUAAUUCCUAAAUAGAAAAACAAAAAGAAAAGAAAAAUGGUUCGUACUAAAUGGAAACAAUAAAUUAAAUGCAAAACAGAAAAAUAAAUUAUGUUAAUAACGGCUAAAAUAAACUAAAUGAUAAACUAGACUCUAAAAAAAAUGACUCAACUAGGACUAAAUAUUUUUGGUAUUUUUGAAUUUUUUUUUUGUAUUUUUGAAUUUUUGAAAAUAGAAAAAUAAAAUGCGGAAAAAUAAAUGACUGAAAAAUCAAUGACAGAAAAAUAAAGAUAGAAAAUAAGUAAUUUUAAUUGCUUAGUCGAAAAUGUUAACAAUCUCCGGCAACGGUGCGAAAAACCUGAUGUGUGGAUUUGGCAAGUGUACCAAAUUAUUUACCAAGUAAUAAAGUGUAAGUAGAGUAUCGUAUCCACAAGGAUUGUCGUUUCGUCCAAACAAUUCGAACACUUAUUUUUAAGUUGACGAUAUAAUAAAAGAGUAUAUGGUUAGAGAGUUACAAUUUUUAUCUGUUUGCAAGAGAGCAAGUUUACUUGAUUUUGGUUGCAGAAAAGUAAGCAGCGGUUAGGAUUCUUUGAAUCCCCCUAUUUAUAUUGUUGGAUAUUAAAUAAAAUUCAUGUCGUGUUUAUUUAUCUUAGAUAGACUAUACAAGUGAUGAAACAGACGUGACUAACCUAUAAGGUUGAAAACUGCACCUGCUGAUCACAUGGUGAUCCUUACCUGUGGGGUUAUAAAUCUCGGUUAACUAGGUUUAUCCCUCCAAAGUCUGAUUGCACCUGCUGAUCACAUUGUGAUCGUUACGUGUGAUUGAUUGUCGAUUAACAUCAAAUAUAAUUGAUUGUGUCUCUAACUUUUUUUUUGUUGGCAUACCUCUUCUUCUUCUUGUUUUUUUUUUAUUAAAAGAAGAAAGAAAGCACAAGAAAAGCAAACUAAUUAAUUAUGAAUCUCUGUCUAAAAACCUUGGAUGUAUGCGCAUGCAGGAUAAUAUCUAAUCGAAGAAGAGAAGAAAUCAUUACACAACUUUCCAUAUCUAAUUAAGUCGUGAUUAUAUGCAAUAAAUAAUAACUAAUUUCGUUUUUACUACUAUGAAAUCACUUUUCAAUAGUAUAAAUUUUUCUAUUUGUUAUUUGAAAAAUAUAAGGACCAUUUUAUACUCUGCUGAUUGCUAUUACAUAUUAAGUGUACUCUUAACUUUAAAGAAAAUGUUUAAAGAAAUGAAAACAUAGUUUUAUUUUUUUUUAACGGAGAAAUGAAAAUACAGUUAUUAAUUUGAACUUUCAAAUACAAUUAUUUAAAAAUAAUUAAAAGUUAUUAACAUUUAAAAAAGUAUACUAAUUUUUUUUAUCAGUGUUUAAUACAUUCUAUAUAGUAGUACAUUGAGUCAAAACAACGAUUACAUGGUAUUUACUUUUCUUGAUAAAAUACAUUGUAUUUAAUAUGUAAUAGUAAUCAAUAGGUCAAAUGAAUUUUAUUAUUACAGUUUUUUUUUUUUUGGAAAUUUUAUUAUAGUUUUUUUGUUGACCAACAAAAUGAAAAUUAUUCUUAUUAUAGUUAUUAAUAAUAUAGAAGUUGAUAGAUACAUCCCUUCGAAAAAAUAUUAAUAGAUACAUAGAUUAUAUAAAUAAUUUUUUUAGGGGAAAAUAUUUUACUAAAUAAAUAUAUUGUAGUGUCUUGACUCUUGACAUUUUCAUAAGCACAGUGUGCAUGCUACUCAAGCUCCAAGGUACACUAAUUAAGGAUUAUGAAUAUGGAUGGCAAGCUCGUGUCUACCUGGUACAAUCUUCACUCUUCUGUGCCAGAAUCUUAUGUGCAACCAGCAGAAAGACAACCUUGCAAUGCUGUUUUGUCCACUAUUAAGACAAUUCCAGUGAUUGAUCUUGGAGGACAUGAUCGUGAUGAUAUCAUAAGAAACAUCGUUAAGUCCUCCGAGGAAUAUGGAUUUUUUCAGGUUCAAAAUUUUCAUUUGCAUAAGUUUUUGUUUUUCCUUCUCAACUAUAUACUUUUAGAAAGUAAAUAGCGACUGAAUCUUAGCGAUGGAAACAAACAAAAUUUAUCUCUAACUCCGUCACUAAAAGCGCUAGAGAUGCCAAAUUUAAAGGACAAUUUUAUUUUUUUCAUCAUGAUUUACAAUUUUUCUAGUAAUAUAUAAUAUGUGCAUACAUGCAUGCAUGUGAAAUGUGUAUCUCGAGGAAAUAGUAUUUGAUUGUCGUUGAGGAUUCACGAUUUAACAAAAAUUAUCGAUCAUAUAAAAAUUAAUUAUGUUAAUCCGUGUUAUAUUUGUGCUUAAUGUAAUGCUAGGUUGUGAAUCAUGGAGUUGCUAAGGAAUUAAUGGAUGAUACAUUAAGAAUUUUCAAAGAAUUUCAUGCCAUGCCUGCCAAUGAAAAGUUAAUUGAAAGUUCAAAAGAUCCAAAUGGAAGCUGUAAACUCUAUACAAGCAGUGGAAGGAAUUGUGCAGAUGUGGCUAAGUAUUGGAAGGAUUCAUUGAGACACCCUUGUCCACCUUCUGGAGAAUUUACUGAAUAUUGGCCUGAGAAACCAGAGGGAUACCGGUAAAUUUUUCAAAGUUAAAUUUUUUUUUUAGUAGGUAGAUGAAAUGGCGAAGCCAUUAUAAAAUCAUACACACAAGUGGGCCUAACAAUUUCGGCAUUUUACCAGUUGAGCUAAGACGUCUGGAUUUCAAAGUUUAUUUUUUAUUCUAUUUAUAAUAGAAUAUAUUUUAUUUUGCUUGAAUGUGUACGUUACAUAGUUGAAAAUUAAUUUGUGUUGGAUCCGAUGAUUUGGUUAAUUGACAUUUUUUAUAAAUUAGACUUAUAAGGUAAUGUGUUACGUGAUCGGAGGAUUAUGAUAAUAAUUUUCAUAACGAUUGACUUGUUUAAACAUUAAUUGAUGGAAACAACUGAAAACUUCACUAAAUUUGUUUUAUGUUUGAAGAAAUUAAAGUAAGAAAGACAAAACUCAUUUAAGGUUGAAUUAAGAUCUUAGAGUUUGAAGGUCUCAUAUUCGAUUCUCUUUCGUAUCAAUUUCGUCGGGUCAAUCCCUUCAAAGCUUUACUUUAACUUUAAAUAGAACCCCCACGAGUGAACGGUGGGAUGAUUUCCUUGGAUUAGUCGGUUGUUGUAUCAUAUACUAGUUUUAAUAAAAAAAAAAAAAAGUAAGCAAACCAAAUUGGUUUUCCCAUGUUAAGGUGUAGAGAAGCAAGGCAGAGGUCUCAUUGGUCCAAUUUUUUUUUUUAAAAGGCUAAAGUGCACUUUUCACCCCUUAAGUUUCAAAAACUUGUGAUUUUGGCCUCCUGUGAAAAAAAGGAUAAAAGUGACCCCAUGUUUAGGAAAAUAUGUUCUUUUGACCCCUAACAUAAGGGAAAUAUGAUAUUUUGACCCCUUAUCUUCUCAAAAAGUUGCGAUUAUGGCCCCUUUUUUGUGACGAAAGGGGCCAAAAUUGUAAUUUUUUUUAAUAGAGGGCAAAAAUCGCAACUUUUUAAAACUUAGGGGUCAAAAAGUGUAGUUUAGCCUUUUUAAAAUUUUUGAACAAAUAUUUUUAAAGGGAUCAUACUGUGUUAUAUUUUUAAUAAUUCAUUAACAUUAAUUUUUGAUAUUUUUUCAGUGAAAUUGUUGGAAAAUAUACACAAGAACUAAGAGCACUAGGGCUGAGAAUUUUGGAUCUGAUUUCUGAAGGGUUGGGACUAAGCCCUAAUUACUUCUCUGAAGAACUAAGUGCUAAUCCAGUACUUAUAUCUCAUAACUACCCUCCUUGUCCAGAACCAAGUUUAACAUUGGGAGCAUCAAGCCACAAAGAUCCAAACAUUCUAACCAUUCUUUUUCAAGAACCAAAUAUCACUGCACUUCAAGUCUUGAAAGAUGGGGCAUGGAUUCCUGUUGAGCCAAUUCCUAAUGCUUUUGUUGUUAAUAUGGGGCUUAUGCUUCAGGUACAUGUUUCUUCAUCUAACUUAGUAUUUGAUAUCAAUAGAUAGAGUCUUUUUUUAAGUUGAAUCCAUAUAAUUUAUCUAGAAAAAUCUACCUGAUAUUUAAAUAAUUUUUUAUUUUAAAAUGCAUGAUUUAAAUUUGUAUAACUAUUUGUUUUAAUUUUUUUAAUCUUAAUCCUCUGGUUUCUAGAGAAGAGAUAAGUAAACUUUGAUCGAGUAUUAAUUAAUUAAGUAGAUAUGAAUUCUCUAUUUUUUUACUGUAGUGUGAAUGUUUAUUAAUUACAAAUUAGAAAUUCAACAUACUUAGUAAAUAAUUAAUUAGUAUGUAAUCAAAUUAGAAACAAUUUAUCUUCAUUAUCGGUUGAGAGGAUCGAAGUCUGAACUUUAGAUAGAUAAUUUUUUGCUAGACUUUAUUUAUCUGAUCGCCUUACAAAUUUUUUUAAACUCUUUCCAUUGAGAAUUGAAGGAUUAAGAAAAAAAAAAAAUUAAUUAGAAACCAUAUGUAUAAAUACUUUUGAAUGUAAUUUAAUUAAUAAUGUUAAGCAACAAUGAAAGUUUGAAGUAUUAUAGUUUUCUGAAGUGUAAAUGAGUUUAUGAACUUAUUUUUGCACGUUUAGAAAAUUAGGAAAACAAAUUUGAUAACUUCUUAUAGUUAACAUCUUUUAAUAAGUUUUUGUAUGACAAAAUUGAACUUUCUUUUAUGAUUGAUAUAGAUAAUUACCAAUGGAAGGCUUAUUGGUGCUGAACACCGAGUUAUAACAAAUUCAAGCCCUAAUAGGCACACUAUUGCCUAUUUCAUUAACCCAAAAAAAGAUGCAAUCAUAGGACCUGCAAAGCCUCUUGCAAGUUCAACUUCACAAGCCAUAUAUCCAUCCAUGCCAUUUGGAGAAUUGUUGGAGAAUUUUAUGAACAAGGGUCCUUACUUUGAAGCUGAAUUCCGCUUAUAAAAAUUUAAUUUUUGUGCCUGAGGAAAUAUACAAGUAAUCAUGAAUAAGUUGUUGGACUGGUAUCCAAGCAAAUGAAUAAUUUAUCUUGUAGUUUUUGACUUUAUGAAGGUCUUAUUUAUGACCAAACAGUUAUGUGCAACCUUCCUCUCUUGGUCUUGAGUUGAAUUAAUUUGUCUUUCACUUAGAGUAAUUUUAUAUCAUAUACUGUUGGAAAAAUUAAAUAAGUGAUAGACAUUUGGUGAUGGCCGAUUUAUUAAUUUUUUUUUAUCUAAAUUCAUUCACUAUUUUUACUCAAAUAUAUUUUGAGAGGAUAUGGAUAUAUUUUGUGGAUAUGGAUAGAUUUUCACCCAUUUCAAAGCUUUAGAUUCUGACUUGUCUUUCUUGGGUGAGUAUUAUUAGUUUGUGUGUUUUAAUCCAUAAUCAUGCUUAACAAACACUUAAGAGUUUAAUUUGUUAUUUUGGAUAAACUUCAUUUUAAUUAGUUACAGAAGACUUACUCUAUACUUGCUUGUAACACAAUCUUUAGUGUGAAUAAAAUUUUCAAUUCAAUAUUCUAUCUCUCUCUCUCCAACAAACUUUAACCUCCAUAACCAACUUCAUCUUCUCCAUUGAAACCCUAAUUUCUGUUUUGCUUGCACUACAAGAAACCUUACGCUGCGCUAAUAUGUAUGUGGUUCUCUAGGCAAAAGUCGUGAUUUUAAGGUGCUUUCUUGGAACUUUCAUUCUUAUUUGAACUGAUGCACAUUCUGUUGGAUUACAUGGUAAAGGUACACUAAAUCUAAUAUAAUACUCUCUCCGUCCUAAAUUAUAUGACGUUUUGGGAAUUUCACACGUAUUAAGAAAUGUAAUUAAUUUUUUGUGGGAAAGAGAUAUUAUGAGUUGUUUUGCAAAAUUACCCUUACUAUGAUAUGCGAAAGAUGAAUGAAAGAAUUGAAAGAAGAGGGAAUAAUAAAUAGUUAAGGAUAUAAUAGGAAAAGUAACAUUAAUGUUUCAUUGGUAUUGUAAAGCGACAUAUAAUUUAGGACGGAAUGAGUAUUAGUAUUCUAAUAAUUACAAUAAUUCAAGGAUUUUUAUGAUGUUUCUUGCAAUAUAAGUGUCAUGAUUUAUAUAGGUAAAAUGACAUUCAGUUGACACUUAUCUAAGGAGAGUGACCUUCCUCAACACCAUAUUUGAUAAGAAGGAUCUUCUUCCAAAACUCAGUUAUCCGCCAAUAACAUCCAUCCACCAAUAAUUCAAAACUAUAGUUGCCAUCUUACAAUAUGAGAUAUAGAAGUUUGGAAUACUACUCAAAAACAAGUAAACGAGUACCAUUAUACAUUUGAAUCUAACAUAUAUGAAGCCAAUAAGUAAGUCUAGAUUUUAAACCUGCAACAUAGGUUGCAAAGUAGAAAACAUCCUGAAGUAUUCCAAGGUAUUGAAAAGGGAGGAAACCUUCAUUACAAUUAAGAAAACCUGACGCCACAUGCAUAGAUUCUUGAUCUACAUUAGAGUAUCAUUCGCUUCCAUGGAGAUUAUAAAUCAUUAGCUCAGAGUCUCUAACUUUAAACCCCUUAAAUAAACCAAAACCAAUCGCCUCCUGAUUAACACGACCAAAAAAUAUACAUGUGAUCUUUUUUUGUCUGCAUGAGACAAUUUUGUUUAUAAAAUCUAAUCAAAAAUUAUUUUUUGUUUGCAGGCCUAAUUCGAGCGAUUUAGUAUUUAUUCUUAAUCAGCGCAGAGGACCGAGUCGGAUAGAGAGAAAAUAUUUUUCUUAAUAAAAAAAUAAAAAAGAUAUUUGAGUAUUAUAAAUAUCAUAUACUUGAGACAAAACGUUGUCACGUGACUUAAUUAAUACCAAUUGAGCUAAACUCACGAGAACUCGAUCUUUUGCCUUUGUUUUCUCUAACUUGAUAAUCAAUUUUAAAUCAAAGUACAAUAAGAGUUGUCUUGUGCAGUUUCUUAUUUUUAGCAAAUCAAACACAAACUAGAGGAAUGUUUCAAUAUCAGGGCCUUUUGUCAUGAAUAUUCUCAAAAAAUCAUCAAAUGCUAUAGGCUUGUAUAUGGGAGGAGCACCAGAACAUGUCAAAGGUUUUGCUGGUUCUAUAAUACUUUCUUUUGUUGGACGGAUGAAGUAGGCAACAGUGGUUCUUGCAGUGCCUGAAUUUGUCACAACACGGUGCUCUGCUCCUAUCAGCCUUCCAUUACUAAUGAUCUACACAUUAGUGAGAGAAAAAAUUUAAAUUCAAUAUCACUUGUUAUUGAUAUGUUCAAUAUCCAUUUGAGCUCAAUCACUUGUUAUUGUUACUAAUACUUAACUUAUAAAGAUUUUUCUAACAUGUCAAAAUUUGUAUAUUUUUUCAAGAAAUAUCAAGACUUGUACAUGGAUAGCUCAUUAUAUGUUUAUUUUCUAAUUAAUUACUCGAUUUUAUACUUAGUUGAAUUCAAAGAGAUGAAGAGCAUUAUUGCUAAUAUUGACAUGGAUAACAUCAACUUUAUUAUUGGAUGAAAUGCAUGCUUCAAUUUUUUUUGGAAAUGAAUUCAACAUAAAAUGUGAAAUUCAUACAAGUUUUAUCCAAUAAGAGAAUGAAUAUUAAAUAGAGUGUUUAUAGCAAAAUUAACUCUUUUUUUUUUAUCAAUGAUAGUAUACCAAAAUGUCCUUCAAAAUUAAUGACUCUUCUUUUUAUAAUUUAUACAUUUUUUUUUAUACAUUCUUUUUAUCCAUUUUUUAGAAUUGGGGAAGGAGAAUUUUUUUUAUUAUCAAAGUGGUACCAAUGAUAUUUUACAGCCAUCGCUAAAUUGAUAUAAAUUUAGUAUCGUGAAGUUAUAAGACUACGCUCUUACCACUUAAGUAACACAAAAGUGUUUGUUUGAUCCAAUUAAAUGAAACGAGGAAUAAUGUAGGUAAUGAAUCUAAACUUUAAAUGAAACUAACAAGGGUAAAUGUGAAUAAUUAAUUAUCUUAAUUGUUGAACAAAUGACUCAAAAUUAGUGUGCUGGGAGUUUGAAAUCGUGACACAAUUUUGGUACCGUGAUAAGAUUUUGGCACCGUGACAUGAUUUUCAAGUCACGAUAUAGGUGUAUUUUUGGAAGCAAAUCAUGACAUGAUUUUUGGUUAAGGGCACAAUACAGUAUUACAUACGAGCUUAAUCGUGAAACAAUUUAGGCAAAUCGUUGCGUGGUUUUGCCUGAAUCUUAACAGUAUAUAAGCAUCCUUUGACAAAUUUGAUGAGCAAGUUUAGUGAAUCUCAUGGAUACCAAAGGAGGGGACUUUUAGGGUAUUUAAAUACUAAAGGUUGAGGGUCUUUAGGUGAUGUUCAAAACUUCAAGAUGUGAAUCUUUGAGAACCAAAAGAGGGGGCUCUUGGGAGAGGGUCGGUGCCUUUUGGAGAGAGAUUCAUUGGAUUGGUAAACACUUCAAAUGAGGGUCAUUUGUGAUAAACUUAGGUGAGUCUUGGGUAACCAAAAGAGAAGAUCCUCAGGAAAUCAAAGGUUAAGAGUUGGGAAACAAAUGGAAAACACAUUGGGCGGGUGAAAUCAUUGAGUCUCUUGUUUAUGGGAGGAGAUUAGGAAAAGAGUAGAAAUUAGGUUUGUUCUUGGAUAGUUUGUUGAAGAUAAUUUAUUGUAAACCUUUUGUAUCUCUUUGUAAAGAACUCAUUGAUAGUGAAUUGGAGAGAUAAAUCUCUCCCCCAUAGCAAAUCAUUGUUGGACUGAAUAGGGUAAAUAUUUUUGAUGUGCUGUUCUCUUUUCUCUACCCUCUUUAUCUUGUUAUUAUAUGGUUCGAUUGUGGAUUUGCUUUACACUUGGUUACGAGAUUCAGAUCUAGAUAUAUUGUUGUUGCUUGUGGUUACUUGACACCAUUAAUACCUUUCUCACGUAUUUAAAUUUCAUUGAUGUGAGAUUUAAAGUUACUGAAUUCACAACAUUAAUAAUAAAUUAUCCUUCUUGUCUUUAUCAUUAAAAAUUAACUUCGGACUUAUUUAUAAGAAUUUUAUUUUUAGGGAAGACUUAUAAGAAAAUUAGUUAAGUGCAAAUAACUUUUUUUAAUCUGAUAAACAAAGUAAUGGUAUUUUAUCCUUCAAAAAAAAGUAAUGGUAUUUUAAAAUGUACCCUUCAUAGGAACUUUCUUUGGGAAAAAAACUGUCAUUCGUAAAUAAACAAAUAUUAACGGAUGGGUGUUUUAAGAAUGAUAUUAUCAAACAAAGUAAAAGUAAUUAAAUUCACUUUUAUUUAAGACCAAAAAUUAUAAUUAUUUGUUUAUAUUCAAAAUAGGAGAAAGUAAGUAGUUAUUUUGUUUAUAUUUUAUAAAGGGAGAGAAUACCUGCAAAAGAAGCCCAAUGUUAACCACAAAAGCAUAUGGAAUUGGCUCAACAACAAUCCAUUCCCCAUCUUUGAAUACUUGAAGAGCAUUUAUAUCAUUUUCUUGAAACAGAAUGGUAACAAGGUUANNNNNNNNNNNNNNNNNNNNNNNNNNNNNNNNNNNNNNNNNNNNNNNNNNNNNNNNNNNNNNNNNNNNNNNNNNNNNNNNNNNNNNNNNNNNNNNNNNNNNNNNNNNNNNNNNNNNNNNNNNNNNNNNNNNNNNNNNNNNNNNNNNNNNNNNNNNNNNNNNNNNNNNNNNNNNNNNNNNNNNNNNNNNNNNNNNNNNNNNGAAAUGGCGACUUCACUGGGGACACUUUUAGCGGGUCACGCCUAGUUUUCCUUAGUUUAUAUUUACGCUUUGUUUUAUUGCUUACAUAUGUGAAUACUUGUUUAUUUUCAUUUGACGUGUGGGGUGAGAAUAUCAAAAGUCCUAUACCCGGGCUGAGUGAACUUAUGAUUAGGUAGAGAUAUAAUCGACAAUUCGAUCCGAGGGUUGCCUCGUGUAUUUGAUUAUGCGAUCAAUCUCACAUAGCUGAGGCAUUUUGGAAGUAAUAUUGUCGGCGUGUGUUGUCAUGCUUAGGCACUUUGCUUUCAAUUGUUCGACGAUGCUAUGGACCGUAGUUACCAAACCCAUCCCUGACCUUUUUAGGACGUAGUGCGGUGGCUAAACCGAGCGUUGUCUCGAGUUUUAGUCGUCACGCGAUACUACACUCAAACUAGACCUUCUUGCGAAUAAACAUGGAACGGACGUUGUCCCGUGCUACCAUGAUAUACGUAAGAGAGGUUGCAGUUUGGGAACUUGAUUAGAACCUUGGUUACUAUUAUCCUAAGCCUUAGUUUACCGGGCACCGUGUCCGCCCGUGGCUCCUCGACUUUAAUCUCAACCCUCCAUGUUUUCUCUGUAAUUGAAAAAAACAAUCAUGCAUACAUGCAUUCAUGCAUAAACAUUUUUCAUGCAUUCAUCGAAGGGCUUAAACAAAUGGAAAUUUUUGUAAAUAAUCACAGGUAUGAAGAAGACUAAGUGCUACAAGUUCAAGGAAGUGGAUUUGGUCAGUUUAAGAGAGUUGGCACUCAAGGUCAAGAGUCAAACAGGGUUCCGACUCCGGUAUGGGGGAUUGCUUACUUUGCUCCGAACCGAUGUGGAAGAGAAGCUAGUGCACACUCUAGUGCAAUUUUAUGAUCCGAGCUUCCGUUGCUUCACUUUCCCGGACUUCCAGUUGGUUCCUACUCUCGAGGCUUACUCCAAUCUAGUGGGUUUACCUAUAGCCGAGAAGACGCCUUUCACCGGUCCCGGGACUUCUCUUACUCCUCUAGUUAUUGCUAAGGAUCUCUACCUCAAGACUUCCGACGUCUCCAACCAUCUUAUUACCAAGUCUCACAUCCGGGGGUUCACUUCGAAGUAUCUUCUUGAGCAGGCUAAUCUCAGUACUACUUGUCAGGAUACACUCGAGGCUAUUCUUGCUUUGCUUAUCUACGAGCUCAUUCUCUUUCCGAACCUCGACAACUUCGUGGACAUGAAUGCUAUCGAGGUCUUCCAUUCCAAGAACCCGGUUCCUACUUUGCUAGCGGAUACCUACCACGCCAUUCAUGACAGGACUCUCAAGGGCCGUGGGUAUAUUCUUUGCUGCAUAUCUCUUUUGUAUAGGUGGUUUAUUUCGCACCUUCCGAGUUCCUUCCAUGACAACUCGGAGAACUGGUCCUACUCGUAGCGGAUUAUGGCCCUCACUCCUAAUGAGGUCGUCUGGCUCACUCCUGCCGCUCAGGUGAAGGAAAUCAUUAUGGGUUGUGGGGACUUUCUCAAUAUACCUCUUCUUGGUACUCGUGGAGGAAUUAACUACAACCCCGAGCUUGCUAUGAGACAGUUUGGUUUCCCUAUGAAGUCGAAGCCCAUCAAUCUUGCUACAUCUCCAGAGUUUUUCUUCUACACGAAUGCUCCUACCGGACAAAGGAAAGCUUUCAUGGAUGCUUGGUCCAAGGUUCGAAGGAAGAGUGUGAAGCAUCUAGGUGUGAGAUCCGGUGUUGCUCAUGAGGCCUAUACUCAGUGGGUGAUAGAUCGAGCUGAGGAGAUUGGUAUGCCUUAUCCAGCUAUGAGAUACGUGUCUUCAUCUGCUCCAUCUAUGCCUCUACCUCUACUCCCCACGACUCAGGAUAUGUAUCAGGAGCAUCUAGCUAUGGAGAGUCGUGAGAAGCAAGUGUGGAAAGCUCGGUACAAUCAAGCUGAGAAUCUAAUCAUGACUUUGGAUGGUAGAGAUGAGCAGAAGACUCAUGAGAACCUGAUGUUGAAGAAGGAACUAGCUAAGGUCCGGAGGGAAUUGGAAGAGAAAGACGAGCUGCUUAUGAGGGAUUCCAAGAGAGCCAGAGGACGACGAGACUUCUUUGCCAGAUACUGUGAUUCAGAUUCCGAGUCCGAUGAUUCUCCGACUACUUCCUAUGCUUGAGGGCUUCAUUUGUUUAUCUUGCUGAAAUUUCAAAGUCUUCCUUUUGAAAAUACUAUGUAGUUUUGAUUAUUUGCAAGAUUUCUAAUUUGUUUAAAAAUCCUUCGAUGAAAAAAGAAGUCUUUUGCAUUUGCAUUUGCAUAUCAUGCAUCAUAUGCAUCAUGCAUUGGUCACAAAGGCUUCUAAGUGCUCACUACCUCCUGGUUCCUCUGCCACAGUUUGAAAAGUGGCUCGUGCUCAGAAGGUCUACGAACCUGACAGAAUCGAUCGAACCAGAGAAUACAGAAGAAGGAAAAAGGCUAUGGUGGAAGAGAACACGCAGCUCCGUACCGAAUUGGCAUCUCUAAGGGAGGAAUUGGCCAAAGCUCAUGAUGCUAUGACUGCUCUGUUGGCUGCUCAAGAACAACCAGCUCCUGUAGUUUCUGCAGCUGCAAAUGUGAUUCCUACUGCAACAACUGAUCCCCGCUUCACCAUGCCACCUGGGUAUCCUUACGGACUUCCACCGUACUAUACUGCUAAUACAGGUGCAGGCACCUCUGGUACUACCAGCAAUGGCCCAAUCUCAGGGGCAAACUUGACUCCUGUUAGUACCGCCUUGACUCAAGCCGCAACAACUGUUACCGAGCCCAUUGUGAAUACGGUGCCUCAAUUUGUCCAUGCUAAUGCGCACCGCGGGAGUAUUGCCACAACCGGAACUAUGGAAGAGAGGAUGGAAGAGCUUGCCAAAGAGCUCCGACGGGAAAUUAAGGCCAACAGGGGAAACGGAGACUCCAUUAAAACCCAGGAUCUCUGCUUGGUAUCGAAGGUAGAUGUUCCCAAAAAGUUCAAAGUCCCGGAGUUCGACAAGUAUAACGGGCUGACUUGUCCUCAAAAUCAUAUUGUCAAGUAUGUCCGGAAGAUGAGCAACUACAAGGAUAAUGAUUCCCUUAUGAUUCAUUGCUUCCAAGACAGUCUGAUGGAAGAUGCUGCAGAGUGGUAUACUAGUCUAAGCAAAGAUGAUGUCCACACUUUUGAUGAGCUAGCAGCCGCUUUCAAAAGCCAUUAUGGGUUCAAUACAAGACUGAAGCCAAAUAGGGAGUUUCUCAGGUCCCUAUCUCAGAAGAAGGAGG